GUCUCGUUAGCUCAGCCGGUAGAGCAACUGGCUUUUAACCAGUGGGUCAUAAGUUCGAAUCUUAUACGAGACACCA
rnacentral:tRNA from 2 species